UACGGAGGGUGCAAGCGUUAUCCGGAUUCACUGGGUUUAAAGGGUGUGUAGGCGGGUAGUUAAGUCAGCGGUGAAAUCUCCGGGCUCAACCUGGAAACUGCCAUUGAUACUAUCUAUCUUGAAUCCUGUUGAGGUGGGCGGAAUAUAUCAUGUAGCGGUGAAAUGCUUAGAUAUGAUAUAGAACACCGAUUGCGAAGGCAGUUCACUAAACAGGCAUUGACGCUGAGGCACGAAAGCGUGGGGAUCAAACAGG
rnacentral:rRNA from 1 species